UAGGGAAUCUUCGGCAAUGGGGGGCAACCCUGACCGAGCAACGCCGCGUGAGUGAAGAAGGUUUUCGGAUCGUAAAGCUCUGUUGUAAGAGAAGAACGUGUGUGAGAGUGGAAAGUUCACACAGUGACGGUACUUACCAGAAAGGGACGGCUAACUACGUGCCAC
rnacentral:rRNA from 1 species